rnacentral:rRNA from 1 species
GACGGGGACCCGCACAAGCAGCGGAGCGUGUGGUUUAAUUCGUUGCUACACGAAGAACCUUACCUGGGUUUGACAUAUAGGUUGUAGGGAACUGAAAGGGACCGACCCUUCGGGGAGCCUAUACAGGUGUUGCAUGGCUGUCGCCAGCUCGUGUCGUGAGAUGUUCGGUUAAGUCCGCUAACGAGCGCAACCCUCGUCGUAUGUUAUAUGUGUCAUACGAGACUGCCGGUAAAAGCCGGAGGAAGGUGAGGAUGAUGUCAAGUCAGCAUGACCUUUAUAUCCAGGGCUACACACACGCUACAAUGGUCUGUACAAUGGGUAGCCAAGCCGCGAGGCGGAGCCAAUCCUGAAAGCAGGCCUCAGUUCAGAUUGCAGUCUGCAACUCGACUGCAUGAAGCCGGAGUUGCUAGUAACCGCAGGUCAGCAAUACUGCGGUGAAUACGUUCCCGGGUCUU